rnacentral:rRNA from 1 species
UACGAAGGGGGCUAGCGUUGUUCGGAAUCACUGGGCGUAAAGCGCACGUAGGCGGAUUUUUAAGUCAGGGGUGAAAUCCCGAGGCUCAACCUCGGAACUGCCUUUGAUACUGGGGAUCUGGAGUCCGGGAGAGGUGAGCGGAACUGCGAGUGUAGAGGUGAAAUUCGUAGAUAUUCGCAAGAACACCAGUGGCGAAGGCGGCUCACUGGCCCGAUACUGACGCUGAGGUGCGAAAGCUGGGGGAGCAAACAGG